UGCUGAUUCUAUUCAAUCUGAAGACAGGGCAAGCUAAGGUGCUGUAUUCAAAUAGAUGCAUCUACAUACAGAAAAGCCCUGAUUCUCUACUAGCCCUUGCCUUAUUUAAUCAUUUACAUCUCUGCCAAGUGAGAGUAAAAUGCUCCUGAGAUGGGGGUAAAUUAUCCACAACUAUUACCCCCACCCCCACCCUGGUUUCCUGAAUCUCUGCAUAAUGGCUGAGGCACAGGCUAGAUUCAGAGAGCAUUGCACAAAGAUAAACAUCAAGGGUAUUUUACCCAGAACCCUGAAUGCAGGUGUGAGUGACAGCUCCCAGCCAUCUUUAAAGAAAGGGGAUUGCACAAUUCUUCAUAAGCACACCCAUAAUACACCCAAAAUACAAACAGUGUUUGGAAUAUUUCUUAAAUAGCCUUUAAAGCCUAAAGCCAUUGGGUAAAUAAGUUUGCCAGUUUUUCUUCCUAGACAGAGUCACACAACUCUGCUGCUCUUCCUGAUAUUGCCAACCCGAAGGGUUCAAGUCAGGCCUCGCUUUGUAUUUAGGUUCUUGGGUUUGAGCCUUUUCUUGGGUCACAUUUGUAAACUCAUUCCCCACAAAGGCUAGAAACUUACUUUUAUCUGAAAUGAAAACUGAGAUUCUCACCAUUGCACCAGCAGCUGUGACUUUAAGAUAAACACCACAUAUCAAACACACACAUUACAAUCUAAAAUUGCAGCAUAACAUCAGCAUUUCUACACUUUAGCACAGGGGUUCUCACCCUUUUUCUUUCUGAACCCCCCUCCCCCCCAACAUGUGAUAAAAAUGCCAGGUCCCACCUAUGCCACAAUAACUGGUUUUCUGCAUAUAAAAGCCAGGGCCGGCAUUAAGGGGGAGCAAGCAGGACAAUUGCCCGGGGUUCCAGGCCAUAGGGUGCCCCACGAAGCUAAGUUGCUCAGGCUUCUGCUUCAGCCCUGGGUGGCAGGACUCAAGGCCCCAGCGAGUCGAACACUGUUUCUGCAUGGCGGACCCCCUGAAAUCUACUUGCAACCUCUUAAGGGCCCCCAGACCUUUGGUUGAGAACCACUGCUUUAGCACACAUAUGUAAAAACUAGUGAGCAUGCCCAGUAAGUACCAUACCCUUCUUCAGCAUGCUUAGAGGAGUCAGGAUGGCCUAGAGGAUAGAGCACUGGACUGGGACUCAGGAGACCUGAGGUCUUGGCUCUGCUACUGGGUGAUAUUGGGGACUUCACUCCCCUGUGCCUUGGUGGUAUUUCCCCAUUGUAAAAUAGGAGUAAUGAUACUGACCUCCUUUGUAAAGUGCUUUGAGAACUACUGCUAAACAGUGCCAUAGAAGAGCUAGCCCUUCUAGCUGCGUCACCUUGCCCUGCUCGCUGCACGUGUGCAGGGACACAGACAAUUUGAACAAAUCCAUUCCUGCUCCCACGGCUUCUCCCGCUUCCUGUACAGAAAAAGAAAAGUUGCAUUAUAAAGCCUGUGGGUUACACUACCAUUCUGACUGUAGCAUUUUUCACCCACUUAGCCCAGAUGUGACUGACCUCGCAAGGUAGGAGAGAAUCAAGCCCAAGGUGUUUCUUAAAACUUCUCUGGAUUAAGGAGCUACAAGUUUUGAGAUUGAAUAUAAAAAUAUGGAUAAGUAUUUGGGCUGUCUACCUUAAAGGACCUUGCAGCGGGAUAAUACCUUGAGUUAGUAACCCCUGAAGGCCUAUCCCAGGGCUAGAGUGUAGCUGCCUGUUUAGCAAGUGCUCAGGGUGGGGUUUGGGGGGAAGCACAGGGCACAAGGAAUCUUUCCUCUUGCACGCCUCAAGCUGAAGCCUGGGGAGCACUUUAGGGAGUAAAGGGAUUGCCUCCAGCAGUACAUCUAUGGGAGUACACACCACAUUCAAGAGUGGAAAGUAGAGCAUCAUGUGCUUGGAUAGGGAUUCUGCAUAGUGCCUCAGUGAGCUCCCUCUGAACUGGUGCAGCUGUACACAUCUCCUACUCUGGCCUGUGUCUAAAAGGCACAAUUUAGAUCCAAGUGAGCUAUUUGGAUUUUUGACUGCAGUCAAUAUAGAGAGGGCGGAAGGAUUGAAUUGCCCAACCUCCCACCUUUCUGAUGCUUCUGUGGGAUCUUUUCAAACACAAACCACAAGGUAGGGUGGGAGAUUCAGAGAUGUAAACAAGCAGGACUAGUCAAGGACUGUAGUGCCUUCAUUUGCCAAAGCAUCUAGGGAACAGGAACUCAAACAAAAGCAAAGCAACAUAAGGCAGCUUGGGGGAUCUGAAAAGAACCCAAAGCUGUCAUGAGAGCUGAAUAAUACAGUUUACUAUAACACACACACACACACACACACACACACACCCCUCUGCUCCUGCUAAGGCUGCUAUCAGAAAUAUCAGAAUAUAACCACUGCUGUAUUCCUGAGCUGACCAAGGCCCUGAAUGAGCAACACAGACCUGCCAGAACCUCUUGCAGGAACAAUGUACAAGCUCAUCAGUGUGGGAUCAAAAUGAGUCACCAGCUGGACACAUUCAAAAAACAGCUCUCCACAGUCUUCUCCUCCCUUGAAGCAGAAAGGUGAGUGCUGAAGGGUUUGGGAGAGCGAU